CCCUUAGAUGUUCUGGGCCGCACGCGUGCUACACUGAGUGGAUCAGCGGGUCAGGUUGCGCGAAAGUGUUUCCUAAUCUUUAAAUCUGCUCGUGAUGGGGAUUGACGGUUGCAAUUUUCCGUCAUGAACGAGGAAUACCUUGUAAGCGCGGGUCAUCAUCCCGCGCUGAAUACGUCCCUGCCCUUUGUACACACCGCCCGUCGCUCCUACCGAUUGAGUGGUCCGGUGAGGCUUUGGGAUCUGGGCGGAAAGAGCGUUUCGCUGUUUCUGCCCGGAAAACUCAGUCGAACCUUAUCAUUUAGAGGAAGGAGAAGUCGUAACA
rnacentral:rRNA from 1 species